AGAGUUUGAUCCUGGCUCAGAACGUACGCUGGCGGCACGCCUAAUACAUGCAAGUCGAACGAAGUAGCAAUACUUAGUGGCAGACGGGUGAGUAACAUGUGGGUAUCUUCCCUUUGGUGAGGAAUAACACGAGGAAACUUGUGCUAAUACCUCAUAAGUCUUUACAGAGAAAGCUUUAUGCGCCAUUGGAUGAGCCCGCACUUGAUUAGUUUGUUGGUGGGGUAAUGGCCUACCAAGACAAUGAUCAAUAGCUGAUUUGAGAGGAUGAUCAGCCACAUUGGGACUGAGACACGGCCCAAACUCCUACGGGAGGCAGCAGUAGGGAAUCUUGCACAAUGGAGGAAACUCUGAUGCAGCGAUGCCGCGUGAGUGAAGAAGGCCUUUGGGUUGUAAAGCUCUUUCGUCGGGGAAGAAAAUGACUGUACCCGAAUAAGAAGGUCCGGCUAACUUCGUGCCAGCAGCCGCGGUAAUACGAAGGGACCUAGCGUAGUUCGGAAUUACUGGGCUUAAAGAGUUCGUAGGUGGUUAAAAAAGUUGAUGGUGAAAUCCCAGAGCUUAACUCUGGAACUGCCAUCAAAACUUUUUAGCUAGAGUAUGAUAGAGGAAAGCAGAAUUUCUAGUGUAGAGGUGAAAUUCGUAGAUAUUAGAAAGAAUACCAAUUGCGAAGGCAGCUUUCUGGAUCAUUACUGACACUGAGGAACGAAAGCAUGGGUAGCGAAGAGGAUUAGAUACCCUCGUAGUCCAUGCCGUAAACGAUGUGUGUUAGACGUUGGAAAUUUAUUUUCAGUGUCGCAGCGAAAGCAAUAAACACACCGCCUGGGGAGUACGACCGCAAGGUUAAAACUCAAAUGAAUUGACGGGGACCCGCACAAGUAGUGGAGCAUGUGGUUUAAUUCGAAGAUACGCGCAGAACCUUACCAACACUUGACAUGUUCGUCGCGACUCUAAGAGAUUAGAGUUUUCGGUUCGGCCGGACGAAACACAGGUGCUGCAUGGCUGUCGUCAGCUCGUGUCGUGAGAUGUUGGGUUAAGUCCCGCAACGAGCGCAACCCUCACUUUUAGUUGCCAUCAUUAAGUUGGGCACUCUGAAAGAACUGCCAGUGAUAAGCUGGAGGAAGGUGGGGAUGACGUCAAGUCCUCAUGGCCCUUACGUGUUGGGCUACACACGUGCUACAAUGGCAUCUACAACAGGAAGCAAAACGGCAACGUUAAGCAAAUCCCGAAAAGAUGCCUCAGUUCGGAUUGCACUCUGCAACUCGAGUGCAUGAAGCUGGAAUUACUAGUAAUCGCGGAUCAGCGCGCCGCGGUGAAUACGUUCCCGGGUCUUGUACACACCGCCCGUCACACCAUGGGAGUUGGUUCUACCUUAAGGCAAAGUUUAAAACCUUUGACCACGGUAUAGUCAGCGACUGGGGUGAAGUCGUAACAAGGUAACC
rnacentral:rRNA from 1 species